rnacentral:rRNA from 1 species
GUGGGGAAUAUUGGACAAUGGGCGAAAGCCUGAUCCAGCCAUGCCGCGUGUGUGAAGAAGGUCUUCGGAUUGUAAAGCACUUUAAGUUGGGAGGAAGGGCAGUAAGUUAAUACCUUGCUGUUUUGACGUUACCGACAGAAUAAGCACCGGCUAACUUCGUGCCAGCAGCCGCGGUAAUACGAAGGGUGCAAGCGUUAAUCGGAAUUACUGGGCGUAAAGCGCGCGUAGGUGGUUUUGUAAGUUGGAGGUGAAAUCCCCGGGCUCAACCUGGGAACUACCUCCAAAACUGCAUGACUAGAGUACGGUAGAGGGUAGUGGAAUUUCCUGUGUAGCGGUGAAAUGCGUAGAUAUAGGAAGGAACACCAGUGGCGAAGGCGACUACCUGGACUGAUACUGACACUGAGGUGCGAAAGCGUGGGGAGCAAACAGGAUUAGAAACCCUUGUAGUCC